GAAAUGAUUGAGUUAGAGUAUAUAUGUUAGGACCGAAGAUGGUGAACUAUGCCUGAGUAGGCAAAGCCAGAGGAAACUCUGGUGGAGGCUCGUAGGGGUUCUGACGUGCAAAUCGAUCUUCAAACUUGGGUAUAGGGGCGAAAGACUAAUCGAACCAUCUAGUAGCUGGUUCCCUCCGAAGUUUCCCUCAGGAUAGCAGAGACUAGGAAUACAAACAGUUUUAUCAGGUAAAGCGAAUGAUUAGAGGCUUUGGGGAAGAAACUUCCUCGACCUAUUCUCAAACUUUAAAUAGGUAAGAUAUGAUGGUUACUUAACUGAACUAUCAUAUGAAUGUACAGUCUUUAGUGGGCCAUUUUUGGUAAGCAGAACUGGCGAUGUGGGAUGAACCGAACGUUAAGUUAAAGUGCCAAAUCUAUUACGCUCAUGAGAUACCAUAAAAAGGUGUUGGUUCAUAUAGACAGAUGGACCGUGGUCAUGGAAGC
rnacentral:rRNA from 1 species